UACUGCUGUGUAACGAAUUACCCGCCACAUCAGGGGCCUAAAACAGUAAGCGUGAGUAUCUCAGUGUUUCUGUAGGUCAGGCGUUUGGUUCAGGGUCUCCCACGAGGAUGCACUCUAUGUGUCAGCGGGUGCUGCAGGCACCUGAGGCUUGAUGUGGGCUAGAAGGUACACUUGGAAGUUCACUGCCAUGGCUGUUGGCUGGAGGCCUCAGUUCCUUACCAUGAGGGCUUCUCCAGAAGGCUGUUCACAGCAUGGCAGCUGGCUUCCCCCAGAAUGAGUGGUCCAGACAGAAAGACUUUGAGAGUUACCAUGAUGCCCUUUAUGACCUAGUCUCCCCCCUUAUUCUGUUUGUAAGAAGCAAGUCACCAAGUCUAGCCCUCACUGAAAGACAGGAUUUCACUAGGCUGUGAAUUCUGGAAGCUGGGGAUCAUGAGGGGCCAUCCUGGAGGUCAGUUACCACUGCUGGAUUCUAAGAAAACAAUGAAUUCAAUCAAUAGCUAUUGAGUUCCUUCUAUGUACGAGACCCUGUGCUGGGUGCUAGGGCUACAACAGUCAGUGGAGAGCAAGAGAGAAAACAAGUCAUAGGUGGAGAUAGAAAACCUGCUUUCCAAGCCUGAAAGAUGCCCUUCUAAUCACUACAUAAUGGGGGAUUCCAUUGUGCCUGAUCGACUUCUUUCUUCCUGGGGAAUCUUUAUUGAAUUGCAACGCACUCGAUAUUAUUAAGAAUUCCAAUCAGAGUGUUUCAACACUAAUUGCAAAACAGUUUUUACCAGUGGUAAUGAGACCCGGACCUUUGCAGACCUCCAGAUGUAGCUCCUCAUGUAGAUAAGGCAGCCCCUUAACAAGCCUCCAUAUCUGGAUCAAGGCCAUAGUCUGCUUCUCUUUCUUUGGCUCAUCUGGCCUUCUAGAGGCUAAACCAGCUCACUAAAUAAAUCAGGGAGUUCAGGGUGAUGGCUUAAGUCUGCCGCGUGUCUAAACUCAGCUGACUCUAAUGAAAUGGAUAUGCUGUUCUCGGCUUCUUCAAGAUACUUCCUGACUUCACAUGAAUCAAGAUGGAACAUCUGUAUCUGAGAGUACCAAUUCCACCUGGUACCACAGCAGGACUGAAUCGAAACUGGACCCUGUCCCCCAGUUAACCCCACUUCGUUGGUAUGAACUAAAGUUGGUACGAAUUAAGCUUGUCCUCAAGAUUUCAAGAAUCAGGCAUGACUCGAGUCUCCUCUCCCUUCCGUGAAUUUUCAUGCUGCACUUGGGAUAAAGAGCACUCCCUGAGUUCUGCGUGCAUUGGAACCACAAAAUGUCGAAGAAAGAAGAUGAGCUUUUGUAUUAAUGGGGUUGGUUCAACUGCUGCUUACUCUUAUUUCAUUUAGCAAGGGAGGAACUAAGUCCUGUCUUUUCUCUCCCGUAGCCCCAAUUUUCCACUCAGCUGUUUCUAUGAUUACAAAUACCUUUUACUCUUUUUUCAUUACCGACUCACCUACCCAUCGAAAUGGUACCUAUUUCAUCUUCCUGUCUUGUCUCUUCCUGUAUGCCCCUUUCCAGAGACUUAAUUCAGAGACUGUUGCUAGGCAACUAUACAUCAUAACAGCCAGUCACCAAUAACUAAUUGCCCUCAGCACUUUCGCCUGACAAAUCUGGACUGCCUAUGACAAUGGCAAGUAGUUCCAAUGGCCAAAAACAUACCAACAGGUUUUCUUAGCUCAGCGAAGGCAAAAACAUGAAAAAUAAGGUACCACCAUCACGGCAGAAACGAAAACUUCCGGUCUCUUAUACCCAACAAAGCACAAGGCUAUAAAGUCAUCAGCUUGGCACUGCUCUCCAAUCCUGCUCAGGUAUCAAAUCAGAGGUACGGUUGGAAGCGUCUGAACACACACACUGAUGGAAGAGUGAACACUAGUGUUUCACGUUCACUCAUCUUCUUCCCUACUGGCCCCACCCCAUUUCUACAGUUUCUAGUUGAAUUGAGGGUCUAUGAGUAAUCAAAUUUCAGCCUCAAUUUUAUGGUGAGUGUAAUGGAGUUAAUUUCUUUAAUGCUAGCAGUUCAUGGAAGGGGUCUCUUGUGGCCGCACAGACCUGGGAUUCGCAGCAGCUGUCAAGAGAUGCCGCUGAGGAAUUCCUUAUUAGCUAAGAUGCAACCAGGCAGAAAACUCAUUACACAGUGCUAAAUAUACUUAAUCACAUCUAUUAGAGAAAAAUGAACUUGAUAAUUACAACAAAUAACUAAACUGCAGAAAGUGUUCAAGGAAAAAAGAAAAAAAACAAAACAAAACAAAACCCAAGAAGAACCCACACCAGGAUUUAAGAACACAGGGAGUGUGAGCCGCCCAAGACUAAAGGGAAGCCAGCAUUGCGCAGCUUUAGGCUGAAGGAGAAACCCUGGUCUCAAGGUGGCAGAUCAGCCGGCAAUGGUAGCUGAGCGUUUGUUCCCCCCCAGCCCCAGCCCCACUCUCUGAGUGACCACACACAUGUGCCCAUAAACACCAGCCUGCAUCAGGGGUGUAAACAGGCAGCAGCUUCUUUCUGCACAAGGCCUCCUAGUUCCCAGUGUCUCUCAUCCCUUGGCUGAUUGGCACCAUUCAAUUUUGUUUUUUUUAAAUAAAAGAUUUACCAAAGUGACAAUACUUGUGGAAAUCAACUGCUGACAGACUUGCAGAGUUAAGUACAUAAUUAAGGCUGUGGAAAUACAGAUGUUGAACAAUGGCGGCUUACAUCAAGAUGUAUGUGGGGAUCCCAAAUAACCCGGCAUCUGGUUUCUUUAUCUAAGUACCUUUCUUACGGUUUGGAUCUUAAUUUUUUACAGUUGACAGCAGUGUUAUUUGAGCCACUCAGUGGCAUCUGGCUGCUAGGGGAGAGCAAAAAAAAAAAAAAAAGAAAGCAAGGAAGAAGGGGGGAAAAAAAUCUCCAUGCACUUUAAUUAAUUGUGGAGAAAUUACAUGGUCCUUCAACCGUGUAGUUUGUCAUCAGCACACAUUACAGAUUUAUAUUAGAUGUUUCUCCACAGUGUCAGGAAUAAUUAAAAGGGGGUAGGAAAUGAUGCCAACCAGCAAUGCUUUACAUCAGUGGUGAAAGUUUUAUAUUUAUUACAGCCAAACAAUUUUAGAAGAAGAUGUCAACUCAGAGGCUUGACUGUGCGUGGAAUACAUAUCAGGCUGGAGGGGAAGCCAAGGCUGCAAGAAUAAUGGGAGAGCGCUCAUGUUUAAUCUGUCAGGCCAACCAGAAUUGGUGUGGCAUGCCAGAGUUAUUAAGGACAUGGCAUCCCCUUUCUCAAUCCUAAAAACACUCACCCCAAACAAUAAGUAACAUAUGCCCUUUUUUCCCUCUGAAACGGUCUGCAUCCAAACAUCCUUUCUGAUCCUAAUAAGGACAGAAAGGCCAACUGAAUGCAGGUCACUUUUCUUGCUCAAUUAAUUCGUGUUGCACUUUUGGCUUGGGAAGCACUGGUAGAAUUACUUAGUAAAAAGAUAUCAAAAUGACGUCUGCCUUCAUUGAGUACACGAUUAUAGCAUCCCUGCCAGGGCUUUCCAUGGAGGGGGCCAGGCCCAGACAACAGCCAGCACGAAUGGGGAUCCUGUAUCUUAGCUUCCUUAUUCCUGGUGCCAUGGAACAAACCUGGGCCAUACUCCUUUACCUUUUCUAGAGAUCACGGCCACGGACUACACUUAGAAACCAAAGGUCACAAAAAAAAGCUCUUAGAAACGGCCCACGUCAAAGGGCGUGAUCCUCCUCAGGACAUAAAUCUUCUGGUUAAUUCUUUCGAAGGACCAGACUUCCUUUUGUAUCAGGAGUUCAUCAGGCAGCACAUUACCGGGCGAUGAUUAGACGCCCUCAGUCUUCAUGAUGGGUCUUGCAGGAGAGUCAAAUAAUCCCCUAAUAUGCAAUGCCUGUCACUUCUUAUUUAUUAGCUUCUUGCCCUGGAUAUUUUCAUAAUUUCCAUUUAGCUCAUGUGGCCCCAGAAGUGGGGACUUUCUGGGAAUCACAGCCUCAGGACAUCUUCACCUUUGCUCACGGGGACUCAGGGGAGAGCACUGAGCCAAACCAGGAUCCUCUCCUCAUUGUCUGUGGGUUUACAUGGUGGGAAACCUCCUCCCUGAAGCCCUCACGAUGUAUGGAAAAUGGCAACAGAG